GAUGAAGAACGUAGCGAAAUGCGAUAAGUAAUGUGAAUUGCAGAAUUCAGUGAAUCAUCGAAUCUUUGAACGCACAUUGCGCCCGCCAGUAUUCUGGCGGGCAUGCCUGUUCGAGCGUCAUUUCAACCAUCAAGCCCCCGGCUUGUGUUGGGGACCUGCGGCUGCCGCAGGCCCUGAAAAGCAGUGGCGGGCUCGCUGUCACACCGAGCGUAGUAGCAUACAUCUCGCUCUGGGCGUGCUGCGGGUUCCGGCCGUUAAACCACCUUCAUAACCCAAGGUUGACCUCGGAUCAGGUAGGAAGACCCGCGGAACUUAAGCAUAUCAAUAAGCGGAGGA
rnacentral:misc_RNA from 1 species